rnacentral:rRNA from 1 species
UACGAAGGGGACUAGCGUUGUUCGGAAUCACUGGGCGUAAAGCGCACGUAGGCGGAUGUGUCAGUCAGGGGUGAAAUCCCGGGGCUCAACCUCGGAACUGCCUUUGAUACAGCACGUCUCGAGUCCGGAAGAGGUGGGUGGAAUUCCUAGUGUAGAGGUGAAAUUCGUAGAUAUUAGGAAGAACACCAGUGGCGAAGGCGGCUCACUGGCCCGGUACUGACGCUCAUGUGCGAAAGCGUGGGGAGCAAACAGG